AAGGGGCGGGCCCGUGGAGGCCUGCUCUCGGUCACGUGGGCGCCGCGACGGGGGCGGGGGGGAAGCCUGGGGAGGGGCAGCGCUCUCCAGUGUCCCGAUUCCGGCGUGGCUUUCCCCAAUCCCCGAAGUCUUCUACGGACGUAUGCCCCAGUUCCCCAAGAAGACGGCAAAUGAUACAGGCUUGUUUGGAAAUUACAGGACCUCAUGGGGCAAUGGAAAAUUUUGCCACAAAAUGAAUGAAAUACUUGAACAGGUCUUAACCCGGGGAACUUUGAAGAAAUGCAAGAAGUCAUCUCAACUCAUCUUUAAAUAAAAUUUACUAAAACGAUGUAUAUGCCCGUUAGAGUGUGUGGAAUUCAAUUAACAUAGCUGGAUUUCAAUUUCACUGGCAGUAUCAGAAAGUUCACCUGUAACCAGCUCCCUCUGGGGAAGAUUGCCUUCCUGUGUAAUCUGAUUUCCAUAGUUACAUGGAAUGAGAACCUGGCCCCUUGAAAACAAGGUAUUGAUCUGGUGCACAAUUAUUUUGGGACCAAUAAAGGAAAGAGAGAGUUGAAAACAGAAAAGAAGAAAAUGACAAAAGUGUUAAUGGAAAAUUAGGAGAAUAGGAUUUUAAAAAUCUAGAGUUAGACAAAGAUGGAAAAAAAUAAGCCUAAUGUUGGAACCAGCCCGCUACCUCUGUUAGGACAAAGGACCCUGAGAUAUCUCUAAAGGAGCAGGUGAAUUGGGGCCUCGCUUCAGGCAUGCACUGGGAUUCUGAGGACAACAGUACAAGUUCUGAGUAAUGAAAGAGGAAAGGCCUUAGCAUUUGGGUGAAGAAGCAGGUGCACAAAAAGGACAACUUUUAGAAUGGACAUUAUCUCCAGGGAAGUGAAAUGAGUUUACCAGCAUUUUUGUGGGACUGUAAGUGAAGGAGAUUUGGAAAACCUUCUAGAAAGCAGGAAAUGGUAAAUAAAAGUUAGUUGUGUGGUGCCCAUUAUUACUCAUUUAAAAUGUUUUUAGACCCAGCCUCAAUCAACCCCAGUCCCUAUCUAAUAGGUCAAACACGUAGCAAAAGGAAGACUAUAUUUGGCAGCUGUUUUUAUAUCUGUUCAGGUUCAUAAUUCCAGGGACGCC